GUGUCAGCCGCCGCGGUAAUACAGAGACUGCAAGCGUUAUUCGGAUUCACUGGGCGUAAAGGGUGCGCAGGCGGCCGUGUGUGUUAGAUGUGAAAUCCCGGGGCUCAACCCCGGAACUGCGUCUAAAACUACAUGGCUAGAGUACUGGAGAGGGUAACGGAAUUCACGGUGUAGCAGUGAAAUGCGUAGAUAUCGUGAGGAACACCAGAGGCGAAGGCGGUUACCUGGACAGUUACUGACGCUCAGGCACGAAAGCGUGGGGAGCAAAAGGGAUUAGAAACCCGGGUAGUCC
rnacentral:rRNA from 1 species